AAGCGCUUGCAACCAGACUUGCGCGCUGUCGAUCAUCCGGGGUUCUCCCCGGUGCACUCGGCUGUGCUCAGGCCAGCAUCGGUUUGGGUGGUUGGAUAAAGGCCUUGGGAAUGUAGCUUCUUUCGGGGAGUGUUAUAGCCCUCGGUGCAAUGCAGCCUACCUGGACCGAGGACCGCGCUUCGGCUAGGAUGCUGGCGUAAUGGUUGUAAGCGA
rnacentral:rRNA from 1 species